rnacentral:rRNA from 1 species
UACGGAGGAUCCGAGCGUUAUCCAGAUUUAUUGGGUUUAAAGGGUGCGCAGGCGGGAGAUUAAGUCGGCGGUGAAAUUUUGCAGCUCAACUGUAAAAGUGCCUUCGAAACUGGUUUCCUUGAGUGUGGAUGAAGUAGGCGGAAUUUGUGGUGUAGCGGUGAAAUGCAUAGAUAUCACGAGGAACUCCGAUUGCGCAGGCAGCUUACUAAGCCAUAACUGACGCUCAGGCACGAAGGCGUGGGGAUCAAACAGGAUUAGAUA